rnacentral:rRNA from 1 species
AGCGUAGGCGGAAAAUUAAGUCAGUGAUGAAAUCCUGCAGCUUAACUGUAGAACUGUUAUUGAUACUGAUUUUCUUGAAUAUAGUUGAGGUAGGCGGAAUGUGUAAUGUAGCGGUGAAAUGCUUAGAUAUUACACAGAACACCGAUUGCGAAGGCAGCUUACUAAGCUAUUAUUGACGCUGAGGCACGAAAGCGUGGGGAGCGAACAGGAUUAGAUACCCUGGUAGUCC